rnacentral:lncRNA from 1 species
AUGUGGCCCGUGUGGAGCCCUCGCCUAGACGGGGCCCCCUGGGACCUCAGCUUCACCGAGGCCAUUAGCCAGCGCAUGCAGGUUCCCAGCCACCUGAAGGUAGCUGACCACGGCCGUGGGGCAGGGGAGCAGAGGCCCCCUGAAGAGGACUGGACCCCAUCCUUCCAGAUGCAUGUCCCCGAACGGCUCCUGCUAUCAGAAAUGACAGAGGUGGCCUCCAAGACUCUCCAUGGGGGGCCAUGGAGGCGCCACAGCCCCAGUAGGACCGACACACCUCUUUCUGAGCCCCCCGUUCAGGCUGCGAUUUAUGGGGAACUCCCUUUCCUGGGCUUCGUCACCCGAGCAGGAUCCCAGAAACGCAGACACCAGGCUCAUCACAGCAGAGCACGGAAGGCAAGAGUGCAAGUGAUGGCAGAGGAGACCCCUCAGCUGAGACAGGAAUGGUAA